rnacentral:snoRNA from 1 species
AAGGGUAAACUUUCAGGGAUCAUUUCUAUACUUUGUCACUAGGGAAGUUUCUCUGGACAAGCAGAGCACCAGAAAUAUGUGGAAGAAGUAUAGCAUUCUCUCCUGAGCAUGAAGUCAGUUCCUAACACUGAUUCACUGCCUUUGCUAUUUGCUAUUGAUGGUCCUCCUUCUCUUCCUUUGGGAAAGUAAGAGAGAGAUGAUAGUCUGA